AAUGAAACGUUGACGAGAAGAGUAAACUUAGGAAGUAGUUUUAGCGAAUAAGGGAUGGUGUAAGCCUUAUACGAAGCCUAUUUUGAAGAACAUCUCUGAGUAUCUAACCGAAAACUUUAAGUUAGUAGGCUUAGACGGAACUUCCAAACCGUUAUAAAUUUGGAAAGCAUAAAUUUUGUGUUUUAAAGCUGGUUUUCUUUUUUAGAAAACAAAUUGGGUGGCACCGCGUAUAGUAUCCUUUCGUCCCAUAC
rnacentral:ncRNA from 1 species